CUUCCCGCACUGGCAAUAGGAAUAACGGCCCUUCGUAGUAUUUAUAUUUAGGACUGCUUGCUUGGUUCACAAUACAAAACCUACUUUUUGGGUCUUAUCUUCAGUAGCAAGGCGAAGAAGAAGAGGAAGGAGCGAAUGGGGACGGUGAUCGAUUCUCAUUUUCUCGCGCUCACUGCCAUUGUCACUGUUGGUUAUCAGUUCUUCUUCUUCGUAAUCACUGCGCUUCUCAAGUUCGACAAAGUUACUGAUUUCGCCGGAAGUACCAAUUUUGUAAUACUAGCUAUAUUGACUCUGGUUCUAAAAGGAUUAUGGAGCUUUAGACAGGUUGUCCUGACUUCGCUGGUAGUAAUAUGGGGUUUUCGGCUGGGACUAUUUCUUUUGAUGAGGAUUUUGCAAUGGGGAGAGGAUCGGCGAUUUGAUGAAAUGCGUGGGAAUUUGGGUAAAUUAGCUAUUUUCUGGAUAUUUCAGGCUGUCUGGGUCUGGACUGUGAGUUUACCUGUGACAAUUGUGAAUGCAAGCGACAGACAUCCGUCUCCUCAAGCUGAGGACAUCAUUGGGUGGAUUAUGUGGUCCAUUGGUAUCAUUGUUGAAGCUACAGCUGAUCAACAAAAGCUGAAAUUCAAAUAUUCCCCAGAAAAUAGAGGAAAAUGGUGCAGCGUUGGACUUUGGAAAUAUUCUCGUCACCCAAACUAUUUUGGUGAGAUUCUCCUUUGGUGGGGGGUCUUUGUGUCAUCUACACCAGUGCUGGAAGGUGGUGAGUGGCUUGUUGUCCUUGGACCAUUAUUCCUUACCUUGUUGCUUCUGUUUGUCAGUGGCAUACCGUUGCUUGAGGCAUCAGCAGAUAAAAAGUUUGGCAAUGUGGAUGGGUACAGGGUAUAUAAAAGUACUACCAGCCCUCUGAUUCCACUACCGCCUGUAGUUUAUGGGAACUUGCCAUCAUGGUUCAAAAAAGCUUUUCUCCUUGAGUUACCUAUGUAUAGUCGACAUCUGCCUCAAGGAUUGCUAAACUGGAGUAGAACAAGCAGCAGACAGAGAAGCAGUGGAUCGAAGACACACUAACCCUGUCACAAUUUUUAGCUUCCUUCCUGUUUCAUUCAUGUGCACUGCCCGACAAAAAGCUGUAAUUAUUUCCAUCUUAAUGGUUUCAUCCUGUCUCUCUGUUGAAGGCACCCUUGUAACCGAAACACAGUUCCAGAGACCGAAGAUGAUGAAGACUUGGAAAAGGGAGAAGAAUUGGGAGAGGAAGAAGAAGAUGAAGGGGUGAUUGAAGGGGAUGAUGAAGAUAUUGACCUUAAUAUUGAUGAUUUUCUAAUGAUGAUUGAUUAAAACUUCUUUAUUGAUUGUAGACUUGUAGUGUUUAUUGAUUGUGGAUUUGUAGUGUUUAUGUAUUUGUUUAGAAC